rnacentral:lncRNA from 1 species
GGAAGGUCUGUGUCUAUCCCUUCUUUCCUCGAGCAGAGCAAAAAAGGGAGUAAGUAAGAAGAACUUGACUCUGAAGUCUGGAUGCUAUGUAUAGUCAUCUCCAGAAAUGUCCCAUCUUUACAAAACAGCCUAAAGAAUUCUGUAACAGUGAUUCACUGGUUAAAGGUUAUAUUCCUGGGAGAAGCUGAAGCCACAGUUAGGGAUGUUGCUGGCUACUGUCAUACUGGAUGUAUCAAAGUUCCCAAUGCCUGUUCAGUGAGAGAGACUUCUGAUAGCAUUCCACAUAACGGGUGUUCUUUUCCUGCAAACAACAACAAGAACAAAACUAGAAUUGAAAAAUAAAAUAUAUACAAGGAUAAAG